UACAGAGACUGCAAGCGUUAUUCGGAUUCACUGGGCGUAAAGGGUGCGCAGGCGGCCAAGUGUGUGAGGCGUGAAAGCCCGGGGCUUAACCCCGGAAUUGCACCUCAAACUACAUGGCUAGAGCAUUGGAGAGGGUAGCGGAAUUCACGGGUGUAGCAGUGAAAUGCGUAGAUAUCGUGAAGACCACCAGUGGCGAAGGCGGCUUGCCAGAACGCGCUCGACGGUGAGGGAUGAAAGCUGGGGGGAGCAAACCGG
rnacentral:rRNA from 1 species